UACGUAGGGGGCAAGCGUUGUCCGGAAUUACUGGGCGUAAAGCGCGUGUAGGCGGCUAUGUAAGUCGGGCGUGAAAUCCCACGGCUCAACCGUGGAAGUGCACCCGAAACUGCGUAGCUAGAGUCCUGGAGAGGAAGGUGGAAUGCUUGGUGUAGAGGUGAAAUUCGUAGAUAUCAAGCGGAACACCGGUGGCGAAGGCGGCCUUCUGGACAGUGACUGACGCUGAGACGCGAAAGCGUGGGGAGCAAACAGGAUUAAGAAACCC
rnacentral:rRNA from 1 species